rnacentral:tRNA from 1 species
GAGGGUAUAGCUCAAGUGGUAGAGCUCAUGCUUAGCAUGCACAAGGUCCUGGGUUCAAUCCCCAGUACCUCUA